CUGCCGCUGGCCGAGGGUAUGACGGUGCGUGAGCUGGUGGCUAUCGGCCGCUACCCGUGGCACGGCGCGCUGGGUCGCUUUGGCGCGGCGGACC
rnacentral:tRNA from 1 species